UGGGGAAUAUUGCACAAUGGGCGCAAGCCUGAUGCAGCCAUGCCGCGUGUAUGAAGAAGGCCUUCGGGUUGUAAAGUACUUUCAGCGGGGAGGAAGGGAGUAAAGUUAAUACCUUUGCUCAUUGACGUUACCCGCAGAAGAAGCACCGGCUAACUCCGUGCCAGCAGCCGCGGUAAUACGGAGGGUGCAAGCGUUAAUCGGAAUUACUGGGCGUAAAGCGCACGCAGGCGGUUUGUUAAGUCAGAUGUGAAAUCCCCGGGCUCAACCUGGGAACUGCAUCUGAUACUGGCAAGCUUGGGUCUCGUAGAGGGGGGUAGAAUUCCAGGUGUAGCGAUGAAAUGUGUAGAGAUCUGGAGGAAUACCGGUGGCGAAGGCGGCCCCCUGGACGAAGACUGACGCUCAGGUGCGAAAGCGUGGGGAGCAAACAGG
rnacentral:rRNA from 1 species